rnacentral:rRNA from 1 species
UUCACCUACGGGACGCAGCAGUGAGGAAUAUUGGUCAAUGGUCGGGAGACUGAACCAGCCAAGCCGCGUGAGGGAUGAAGGUACAGAGUAUCGUAAACCUCUUUUGUCAGGGAACAAAGGCGGGGACGUGUCCCCGGAUGAGUGUACCUGAAGAAAAAGCAUCGGCUAACUACGUGCCAGCAGCCGCGGUAAUACGUAGGUGGCGAGCGUUAUCCGGAAUGAUUGGGCGUAAAGGGUGCGUAGGCGGCCUGCUAAGUCUGGAGUGAAAGGUACCGGCUCAACCGGUACAGGCUCUGGAAACUGGG